UACGGAGGGGGCUAGCGUUGUCCGAAGUUACUGGGCGUAAAGCGCGCGUAGGCGGGUUGGUAAGUCCGCUGUGAAAGCCCGGAGCUUAACCGUCCGGAGGUCGGUGGAUACUGCCAGUCUUGAAGGUGCUAGGGGGAGAUGGAAUUACCGGUGUAGCGGUGAAAUGCGUAGAUAUCGGUAGGAACACCAGUGGCGAAGGCGGUCUCCUGGGGCAUUCUUGACGCUGAGGCGCGAAAGCUGGGGGAGCAAACGGG
rnacentral:rRNA from 1 species